UAAAAAUGCCGCUGCCUGGCACAUAGCACAUGCCAACACGCCGUAAAUGAGCUGCUUCCGUGUCAAAGUGUAUGCUGGUGCAGAAAAAUAUUUUAAAAAUAAUUUGAGUAAUUUAUACUUUCAAAAAAUUUUUGGCAGUCCUGUUUUUGACCUUCCGGACCUGGACCGCGGUCCUCCAGUUGUCGACUGUUGCUCUAACAGAUCAAACACAGGGAUUAAUUCUAAUCUUAGAUCAGAAGUCCCACCACAUACAUGUGCACUUCUUAGACAUAUUGAUAACUAUUGAAGAUGAAUCUAUGACUUAAAUGGGUUUUCAGGAAAAAGUUGUUCUCACCUGUGCUUAUUCCUGCUUUGUCUUGCAAUUCUAUCAGUUACAAAAAGACAGCAAUUAGGUUUCUAUUGAAAAGAAUUUCCUUUCACUGUACCUUAGUAUCUAAAUGCCAUAAGAGCAACA
rnacentral:lncRNA from 1 species